rnacentral:rRNA from 1 species
GUGCCAGCCGCCGCGGUAAUACCGGCAGCCCGAGUGAUGGCCGAUCUUAUUGGGCCUAAAGCGUCCGUAGCCAGCCGAACAAGUCCGUUGGGAAAUCCACCCGCCUAACGGGUGGGCGUCCAGCGGAAACUGCACAGCUUGGGACCGGAAGGCUCGAAGGGUACGUUCGGGGUAGGAGUGAAAUCCCAUAAUCCCGCACGGACCACCGAUGGCGAAAGCACUUCGAGAAAACGGAUCCGACAGUGAGGGACGAAAGCCAGGGUCUCCAACCGGAUUAGAAACCCCGGUAGUCC